rnacentral:rRNA from 1 species
UACGUAGGGUGCAAGCGUUAAUCGGAAUUACUGGGCGUAGAGCGUGCGCAGGCGGUUUUUUAAGUCUGACGUGAAAUCCCCGGGCUCAACCUGGGAAUUGCGUUGGAGACUGCAAGGCUGGAGUCUGGCAGAGGGGGGUAGAAUUCCACGUGUAGCAGUGAAAUGCGUAGAGAUGUGGAGGAACACCGAUGGCGAAGGCAGCCCCCUGGGUCAAGACUGACGCUCAUGCACGAAAGCGUGGGGAGCAAACAGG